ACACGAGUGACCUCCAUAAACGAAGAGAAAAGGGAACCCAAACUGCUGAUCUAUGCCAUGUUAACCCGGAGUAUAAAAAUUUGCUGACGACUUAGGGGAACAGUUCUCCAUGAAGAACAGAAGAAUAUAUAAGGGAUGAACUAAGAGGGCGAGAUUUAAAAGGAUAAAUAGAUCUGGCAGCGCUGUAUUCAAUUCCCUGGCUCCACUCUAGCGAUCUUAGAAUGUUUGAGAGACUAAUGUAGCGUGGUCUAAUCCCAGUUUGUCACCUGGAUCCAAGAAUUGUAAAGGAAAGAGUCUGCUGAAGCCCCCAAGCAUAAAUGGGACAAGCUGAUUAAGACUCCAGCCUCACCUUGGAACUCCACAGGAAAAGUGCAGUUUUAAGAAGAGCAUCAACUAAAGACUACUACAUUUAUUUUCCAUCAAUAUUGUUGUAAAGGGCCUGAAUGAAGAAGAGAAAGUGGCUCCAUUAUCGUAAAUGCUAACAAGUCAUCCGUUCACACAAACAGAACAAUUUUACAGUAGUUGACAAUUGAAACUAUGAUAGUGUCAAGUUCAUGACCAUGAGAAAAAUAAUAGUUGAUCAGGGUCAUUAUGGUGCCUAUUUUCCCAAAACUGAAUAGAGGUCAGCUCUGCUUCUUGUGAUUUCUAAGUAGGAAUCGAAGGAUUCAUUGUUUUAAGAGGUGGUAGUUCACUGUGAUUCAAGAUAUGUCUUUUGUUAUCUAAUUCUGGUAUUGGUUCACUAUUUUCGUUAUCUCGUUGUAUCCGGUUACAUAUGUAGUUCAAUGUUUUUAUUCAUACGAGAUAGCUGACAUACUUCAGGAUGCAUUUUUCUACGCAAAGACUCAUAAGUUUAAGAUCGGUUAUCAAAGCUCCGAUUGUUUCACGAUACAUUGCCUGUAGUUCUCAUUAAUUUGAUAUCCAUCAGAUGAUGCUUCAGGCAACAUGAUAUUUAACUUUAAUUUCUCAAUGUAAUAUCAGGUAUAGGUUGUCAUGGCUACAUUUUACAUAUCGAGAAGUCACGGAAGUUUAAGGAUCUUUAUUUUUUUCAUGAACUUAGGUUUUGAUUUGCAGGAUGUUAUAGGUCAUUGUUCAGGGCACACUUACCUGGGUAUGGGUAUGAAGAUCACGUGUGAUUGCCUACAUUAGUAGGUUGUGGUUUUGUUGUCAGUCAUUUUUUCGAAUUUCAAAAACGCAAUAGCAAAAAAAUGUGCAUUACUUAAAAAGUGUAGGUUUUGCAGAUUUUAUGGAAUAUCAUCUUGUUGGUCAGUAUACUCAGGAAUAGUGUUGUGAAAUCAAACCUAAGAGUUAUUAACCUUAACAGAAUAGGUAACAUUUUCGACUGAAGUUGAAAUUUCUGUUAUUUUACUCUUAAACUAAUUUCUUAGUAGGAACUUGUGUUGAAGCUUAUACUCCUUGUAGCCUUCAUCCUUAGUUUGUUCCAGUUGUUGAUUUAUAUCAGAGUUCCUUUGGAAUCAAAUUGAUGAUUGUUUUGAAGUCUUUUGUUACUGUCGUGUAAGGUAUUCAUUGGUAAUUUUAUGUAAUCAUUAGGUUAUUGCAAGGCUUUGCUUAAUACACGGGAUAUAUCCCAGCCUGAAACAUUUAAACUUUUCCGCUGUUUACUUAGGAGAUAUUUCAGAUUUUAGUGAAUUAGUUUUAUCUGAUACUUUAUGGUAUAAAGAGCUGUUCAUUCGGUCAAGUAAGUAAACAAGACUUUGUGAA